rnacentral:lncRNA from 1 species
AAGGAGAUGCCAGGCCCAAUGUGAAGUAGUGUUGUGUAUAUUGGGAGAACGGGUGCCCAUAUCAAGAAAACGAAUAGCUCGGUUCACUUUCCAGUAUAGGGAGACAGACUUCGAAUUGAGAAAGAAGUUCCCCCAUUUCCAUUGAGAUCAUUUCCGGGUCUCUUCGAAAAUCGGCUGCUCUCUGACAAUCCCUAGUGGAGCCCUGCUGCUCAACGACUGUCCGAUGAAGGUAUCAGGUGUCAAUACAAUGAAUGAAUCCGAGAUGAUGGCCUUCUCUUCUUAUUCAAAGAAGUGUU